AUGGAGAAGAGCUUGGGAGCUGUGCUGGGGCUGCUGUGGGUGCAGGUUUGCUGGGUGAGAGGGAUGCAGGUGGAGCAGAAUCCUCCAGCCCUCAGUCUCCAGGAGGGAGCCGGCUCUUCUCUGAGAUGCAAUUUUUCUAUAACCAUGACAAACGUGCAGUGGUUCCGACAGAAUCCCGGCGGCAGCCUCCUCAGUCUGUUCUUCAUGACUCCAGGAAUAAAGGAGAAUGGGAGGUUAAAGUCAACAUUCGACUCCAAGGAGCGCUACAGCACCCUGCACAUCAGGGAUGCCCAGCUGGAGGACUCAGGCACCUACCUCUGUGCUGCUGAGGCACAGUGCUCCCAGCAAGUGUGCAGCCUGGCCCCAAACUGCAGCUGGAUCAGGUUGGUUUCAGAUGACGUUUGA